GAGAGAGAGAGAGAGAGAGAGAUGAAUUGCGUUUGCCUGACUAUUAUAAAACAGUACUAUUAAUAUCCGUGUAAAAACCAACCCCAUAAUACAAUGUACACAGGUUCGAGAUAUCAACUAAGGGGGACAGCAACCAGCCUACAACCCACAGCAAUGAACAGAGACAAAAAGGAGGAUCUUCAGAAGAAUUAUG